UGGGGAAUUUUGGACAAUGGGCGCAAGCCUGAUCCAGCCAUGCCGCGUGCGGGAAGAAGGCCUUCGGGUUGUAAACCGCUUUUGUCAGGGAAGAAAAGGUUCUGGCUAAUACCUGGGACUCAUGACGGUACCUGAAGAAUAAGCACCGGCUAACUACGUGCCAGCAGCCGCGGUAAUACGUAGGGUGCAAGCGUUAAUCGGAAUUACUGGGCGUAAAGCGUGCGCAGGCGGUUAUGCAAGACAGAGGUGAAAUCCCCGGGCUCAACCUGGGAACUGCCUUUGUGACUGCAUGGCUAGAGUACGGUAGAGGGGGAUGGAAUUCCGCGUGUAGCAGGGAAAUGCGUAGAUAUGCGGAGGAACACCGAUGGCGAAGGCAAUCCCCUGGACCUGUACUGACGCUCAUGCACGAAAGCGUGGGGAGCAAACAGG
rnacentral:rRNA from 1 species